UGCAUUUGGCGGGAUCUGUGUCUCUCGCUGGUGCUGGCACAGGAGCUUGGGAUCUGUCUCCUCUUUCGCCUCCUGCACCUUGAGAGCCCUGGGCUACUCUGUCACAGCCCCUGUUGCCCUGCGAUCUGUAGGUCCUUGGGGACGCAUAGUUAAGGUGCCAGGACAUCCUGGAAGCUGGGAAAUGAUUUCUUCCAGACCAUGGCUGGAGAAGGAAAGAAGGUGUGUUUUGCCUGAUUCAGGGACUAUAGAGAGAACCAAGUUCUGCAGGCCUGUCAUCUAAGUCUCAGGGCGGGGAGACCUUCCUUCCCCACGGGUUUGAGGCUAUGGCUAAGUGGUGAGCCUUGGUGAGACGCAGAAAGGAUCCAUCCCAGGCACUUGGCUAGAGGCUGAAUGCUAUCCCAGUGAUUGUACGUGCCCUGUUUGCUGAAUCUACUCAUCCUUAAGGGUACAUUUGCUUCCAGGUAACAUGUUUGUGACUAAUACUACAAUGUGCAUAUAUCUAUUCCAUGUUCUGCUUUGUCUGUUUGGGAUAUUUUUCAUACACUGAUUCAGUACCAUGUGUAUUCCCUUGCUUUUGUUGUCUCAUCCGUUGAUGUUACGUCCCCCAAAUUAUUGCCACGACCAGUUGUCAUGAAGCUUCACCCUUCUGUAUUGUGCUAGGAAUUUUACAGCUAUAGGUUUUACAUUAUAGUCUUCAUUCAUUUUUUAAAAUUGACACAUGUAAUUGUGCAUAUUUUGGGGAAACAAUUAUAUAUAUAUGUUGUAUAACAAUAAAAAUCAGAGUACUUCUAUACUUGUUGCCUCAUGCAUUUGUUAUUUUUGUGGUGAGAAUAUUCAAAAGCUUC
rnacentral:lncRNA from 1 species